rnacentral:rRNA from 1 species
CCCUGCCAUUUGUACACACCGCCCGUCGCUCCUACCGAUUUCGAGUGUUCCGGUGAACCUUUCGGACCGCGCCUAGCCUCGUGCCUGGUGUGGGAAGUCAAGUAAACCAUAACACUUAGAGGAAGGAG